CAUCAGUCCCCUCCUUCCUUCAGUUCUGAAGCUGUGUCUGAUUCAUUGUGACAGCCCCUCUCCCAUGGGUCCCAUCAUCCCUCCCUGCAUCUCACUUCUGCUGGGAAUUCCCAAAGCAGAAGGAGUUUUCUUUGCUGCUUCCCUUUUCAGAAACUUGGAGACCAUAUAUCUUUGCAAAGUGGAUUUUUAAAAAUAAAACAAAGAAGAAAAGAUUAAAAUGGAGAAGCUCCCAAGUUUUCUGCCUUCUGCCUGGACCAGCUUCCUGUGCUUCUUCCUUUCCAAAAUUGAUGUGGUAAAUGUUAUUGCAGUAGCCCUGGCUCAGAAAAGCCCAGGCCUUCCAAGAACGCAACCUUCAUGGAGAAAUUCUGCGACUCUUUCUCCUCUGCCUAGGCUGGAGAGGUAAGAUGUAGAAGGAGAGAGAGACAAAGAGACACGGAGAAAUUUGCCUUAUUAGUGGCUUUCAAGAGAACAAGGCCAGAAGACAGAGUCCUGGACCUUAUCCAUUUCACUAUGAGAUGACAUUGCAAGAAGUCCCUUCCUAGGUGCUGGCACCUUGAUCCUGGACUUCCCACCCUCCAG